CGCUGACCUCGAUCAGGUAGG
rnacentral:rRNA from 1 species